UACGGAGGGUGCAAGCGUUAUCCGGAUUUACUGGGUUUAAAGGGCGCGUAGGUGGGUCUGUAAGUCAGUGGUGAAAUCUCCGGGCUUAACUCGGAAACUGCCAUUGAUACUAUAGGUCUUGAAUUAUCUGGAGGUGAGCGGAAUAUGUCAUGUAGCGGUGAAAUGCUUAGAUAUGACACAGAACACCGAUUGCGAAGGCAGCUCACUAAACUGUAACUGACGCUGAGGCACGAAAGCGUGGGGAGCAAACAGG
rnacentral:rRNA from 1 species